CCGUAGCCCAAGAGAUCGGGAUAACACCUGGAAACAGAUGCUAAUACCGGAUAACAAUAGAUGAUGCCUAUCAACUGUUUAAAAGAUGGUUCUGCUAUCACUCUUGGAUGGACCUGCGGUGCAUUAGCUAGUUGGUAGGGUAACGGCCUACCAAGGCGAUGAUGCAUAGCCGAGUUGAGAGACUGAUCGGCCACAUUGGGACUGAGACACGGCCCAAACUCCUACGGGAGGCAGCAGGC
rnacentral:rRNA from 1 species